UGCACGGCAGAGCCCGCGCCUCCCGUCCCGUCGCCGCUCGGUUCCCGUCGCGCUGCCCCGGACGGACCGGGGCCCUCCAGGAGCCUUCCCGGUGCCGGGCGCUGCCUACCCUCCCUGCGCCCCCCUAGCCCCCACUUCAGUCGGCUCCGAGACCUCCUUGUAGCAGCACAACCCGCCGGGCUCGACCGGGCCUGCCGUGUACCGGGACCCGGACACGCUCUCUCCUCCCUGCGCGGCCCCCGCGCCGUUCAGCGCCGCCGAUUCCCAGCCCAAGCGGGACCCGGCUCCUCCCGGCCCCGCGGCACCAUCUAGUGGCGCCGCCCGGCCCGAGCCAGCCCCGGGGCGCGGGUCAGCCCGGGCCGGCCCCGCCGGUUCUCGGAGCCCCGGGGCCACGCGUGUCCCGGAUGGGUAGCUGCUGCUGGGAGGCAACGCUGGGGCCACCGGCACUAAUGAGGCUGCUCGGCGGCGCCGGCCCCCGCCAGAGGGGCUCCCGACUGUGGCUGGUCCUGCAGAGCGGCGGGAGCCGCUGCAGCCUCCCCGCGGGACUCGGGCGGGAGCAGCCGGUGCCGAGGAGCGAGCGGAGGGGCAGGCGGCGGCAUGGCUCCGGCUCCGGGCUGGCGGCUGCGGGCCGGGGGCUUCCGCAGAAACUGGUCCCCCCACGCCGCUUCGGCGCUGGGCUGGGAGCGGUACCGGCCCCGGCGGGAGGCGGAGAAGCGCGGCGUGGACCUGGUCGCUGUCACCGCCGGAAAGCGGCCCCGCGGGACGAGGGAUGACGGGGGCAUGGUCCUCAGGCAGAGUCUGGGCCACAAAGGGUUACGCAAGGCACCCUGGAGUGACACCACUGCCACCAGCCCGGGAGCUCAGCUCCUUCCUGGUCGGAUCCCAGGCUCGCCUGAUGUUGGAUUGAGGAAGGGGCCAGCGACUGCGAAGAGGAGCCGGAGCCGGUCAGAGCCCCCCAGCCGUCCGGCUGCCACCGUGACUAUCCCCAGCUUGUGCUGGUGGGUGCCCACCAUGGAGGAGAUGGUGAUCUGGGAGCAGCACACGGUGACACUGAGCAAGGACCCUCACCGGGGCUUUGGAUUUGCUGUCUCUGGAGGCCGUGACCGUCCCAACAGGACAACCGGGGACACAGCGGUGUUUGUUUCAGAUGUGGUGUCUGGGGGACCAGCAAUGGGUCAGCUCCAGAAGAAGGAUCACAUUGUGAUGGUGAAUGGCAUUUCCAUGGAGAAUGUCCCAUCCUCUGUCGCCAUCCAGGCACUUAAAACCUGUGGCAAGAUCGCCAACAUUACACUGAAAAGACCGAAGAAGAUUCACCUCCCUGUGAGCAAGAGCAGCCCUGGGUCCCCUGCUGUGCCCCGGCACUACGACUCAGAUGAGGAGUACAGGCUGCACCGCUCCCGGGAUGACCUGGAUCACAGCCAGGGCUACGAUGGGGACUCAUCCAGCGACAGGAGCUCUGGUCACCAGCACGAUGACCGUCGCCACCACAAGCUGGUGUCACGGAGCCGGAGGCGGAGCCAGGACAGCAGCCGCUGGAUGCAGAGUAGCUCAGACCGGAGAGGCCAGGGCCGACAUUGUUCCUUUGGCCAGGACGGGGACACCAACGGGCUGGCCCUGGUGUCAGGCUUCAAGCGGCUGCCGUGCCAGGAUGUGCCAAUGAAGCCCAUCACAUCGGUCCUGGUGAAGCAGAAGCAGAAUGAGGAGUAUGGCCUGAAGCUGGGGAGUCAGCUUUUCAUCAAGCACAUAGUGGAGAGUGGGCUGGCGGCCAAGGGCAACUCCUUGCAGGAAGGAGACCUCAUCCUGAAGAUCAAUGGGGUAGCCAGCCAGGACAUGUCCUUGGCUGAAACCCAGCAGCUCAUUGAGCAGACAGAGGGGAUCCUGACCCUGCUCAUCCUCCGUGACCACCGGCAGUUCCUGGUCAACAUCCCUGACGUUGACAGCCAGAGCGACAGCUCCCGGAUGGACGAUAUCUCAGACAUCGACUCUGAGCUGUCCCAUCCGCCAUCUCCAGAGGCCUCCCCACGAUCUCCAGCUGCUGCCAGGACAAAAUCACCGGAGAGGAGACGAUCAGACAGGGAGCCUGUGACCAAGGUGACUGUAGCUGAUGCUCAGGGCCCAGACCUUCUGGAAGCCAUGGAGCAGGAUGGGCACAGCUCCCAUACCAGCCUCACUGCCCGAGCUGCCCACAAGGAUGGGUACAGCACCAACGCCAGGGUCGUGCAGUUUGUGAAGGCCAAGAGUGUGGGGCUGCGGCUGACAGGUGGGAACGAUGUGGGCAUCUUCGUGUCGAGUGUGCAGGAGGGGAGCCUAGCUGACAGCCAGGGUGUUCGGGAAGGUGACCAGAUCCUGCAGGUGAAUGACACCAGUUUCCAGAACGUGACCCGUGAGGAGGCUGUGGAAUAUCUCAUGGCCCUGCCCCCAGGCGAGGAGGUCACACUGUGGAUCCAGAGCAAGCAGGACAUUUACAGGAAGAUGGUGUCGUCCAAUGUGGGUGACUCGUUCUACAUCCGGACACACUUUGACUUUGAGAAGGAUACGCCGUCAGGGCUCAGCUUUGCCCGUGGGGAUGUGUUCCACGUGCUGGACACCAUGUACCGGGGCAGGCUGGGGAGCUGGCUGGCUGUGCGCAUGGGCAGGGACCUGCAGGAGCAGGAAAAGGGCAUCAUCCCCAACCAGAGCAGGGCCGAGCAGAUUGCCAGCCUGGAGUCGGUGCUAAAAGCCACAUCUGGUGCCAACCCCUCCGGGGCAAGGGCUGAAUUUUGGAAGCUGCGGGGCUUGCGGGGAGCCAAGAAGAUGCUGCGGAAGAGCCGGGAGGACCUGUCUGCCCUCACAAAACAGGGGCGCUACCCACCCUAUGAAAGGGUGGUUCUCAAGGAAGCCAGCUUCAAGCGGCCAGUGGUGAUCCUGGGCCCCAUCGCAGACAUCGCUGUGCAGAAGCUGAGCAGGGAGCUGCCCGAGCUGUUUGAAAUUGCCCCAAGUGUGCCCCGAGAUGGGGCAUCAUCCAAGGUCAUCAAGCUGGACUCGGUGCGGCAGAUUGCAGAAAAGAACAAGCACGCUUUGCUGGACAUCACGCCCUCAGCUGUAGAGCGCCUCAACUACGUGCAGUACUACCCCGUGGUGGUGUUCUGCGAGCCCGAGAGCCGCCAGGGCAUCAAGGCCAUGCGGCAGUGGCUGGCGCCCGACUCCAGGAAGAGCUCCCGGCGCCUCUAUGCCCAGGCCAACAAGAUGAAGAAGUAUUGCAGCCACCUCUUCACAGCCACCAUCAGCCUCAGUGGCAGUGGCAAUGCAUGGUACGAGCAGAUCCAGGACAUCGUAAGGACACAGCAAAGCCAGCCAGUGUGGACAACAGCAGAGCAGGCAGAUGUAGCCGCCGAGGACAGUCUGGACCUGCUGAACCCACCGAGCACAGUGGCCUCAGGCUACCUGACAUGUGACAGCCGCGCCAACAGCGACUACGACGACACAGAUGGGGAGGUGGGCGCCUACACUGACGGCGAGGCAGAGGAUGCCUAUGACCAGCCUGGGCUGGCCCGUUCCUCUGAGCCAGCACAGCUGGCCCCAAGCCAGGGCCUGGACUCCUCAGAGCCAACAGAGCUGGCCCCCAGUGAACAGGUGUCUGAACGGCCACCACAGGGCAGGCGCUAUGACAGCAUCAGGGAAUACGAGCACGAGGCGGUGAGGAAGAGGUUCACACGGGCCAGGGAUGACUCGGACCAGGAUGAAGGCUACGAGUGGGGCCCAGCCACAGAUGUGUAGUGGCACAGCUGGCCUGUCCCUCCAGGCCAGCUCUCCCACAGCCCUGCACAACUGGAUGCAGCUGACAGCUCAGGCUGGGGCUGCAGAGAUUGAGCAACAGGAGAGACCCACAACUCCAGUCCUAGGGGAAGCACCAGCUGGUGUGCAAGGUGGCCAUGCCACUCACCCACCAGCUCCCACUGAGCCCAGGAAUUCCCCUCUCUGCCUUCCCAACACAGCCACAGGUGAGCCCAGGGCAGGGAGUAGCUCGGGCACAGGGGACAGGAACAACUGUCACUGAGGUCAUGCCCAAAAAGCCAGGAAGAAGCCACCACCCUGAAAGCAAACAGCUACAGAGCACCAGGAAGAGGGAUACAACCACCAGUGCUGCAGAAAGGCUGUGAGGAGCUUUUUAGCUGCACACAGCAGAGCCCUGUGGCCCCUCGGCUGGGCAGGCACAUGCAGUGUGGGAGCUGGGUGCUGGUCCCUGGACACAGCUGGCUCUGCCUGUCCCUCAGCAGACCCUGGCCCAGCUCCCAUCCCAUGGGC